rnacentral:antisense_RNA from 1 species
CUUCACCGACCCCAGCCACAGUGGCUGGUCGGCGGACCGACCCUGCCCGUACGUCGCCAUCAGCGCCUGCGCCUC